rnacentral:lncRNA from 1 species
UCAGAAGGCACAUGUCCUGGGCUAACGAAAUCUUUGGAGAUCAUUCUAUCCAGACUACCUGACACCUGAAAAGAUGGUUUAUGAUCACUGACAUUGUGCCAUCUGACUAGCAAGAGUUGUACUUCAACAAAAAUUUACCAGCCAAGUCUAGCAAAGCCCUUAGCUCUUACCUGACUGUGAAAUGAUUGUCAAUGUUUGUGAUAUUUGGAACAGGAGUGAUAAUUCUUAAUCAAAUUUGAUAGUCUCAGUAUUCUUCCGGUCUCUG